UUAAGGGAAUUAAGUUAAGCUCUUUUAUGGAAACUCCUGGUGAACGUUAAAUACAGUUAAAUAGUCGUUAAAGUUCACUCGUGGUUAAAGUCCUGUUAAUUAUACAGUCAAUAAACGCGUAGUUGAAGUUCAACUAAAUACCACAUCUUGAGAGAAAAUUAUAUUUCACAACUCGUAGCGCAAUUAAUAUUUGGUGAAACCUACCUUUACACAAUUUUUCUAUUUGACAAGUUUGUAAAGUUAAAUACGAUUUUAUUAACGUGCGGUGAAAAAAAAGGCACUUUCAUAGCUAGAUUUUGUAGUCACAUAUACUCAUUUGUGUACUCCUCCACAUAUUUCUUCUAGUCUUCUUGGUUUAGUAAAAGGCAAAAAGAUUAUUCGUGUUUUGAAGAGAAACAAAAAAAAAUUAAGAUUGAACCAGGUCAGAUAAAUAUGGAGAUGGAUGCAAGUCAUUCAGAUGAAUGGCAUAAAAAAUACAUUUUAAACGUACAAAAUAAUGUAAGGUCAAUAUACAAAAUAUGUAUAAAUGAUGUUAUCACGACAAAAAUGAUCCAAGAAGCUAAUAGAAUUCAUAAUAAGAGGUACAAGAAGAAUUUUUUCAAGAGAGAAGAAAAAUUGAGAGAAUUUCGUAGAAACAUUAUAAGUCAGUUGCGUCCAUUAUUUAAAAUUCAACCUCAAUUUAAAAAAAUAUGCAAAUAUAGAAGUGGUAAAUUGGUUGAUUCAUGCUUUACGAAAUUUGAAUUUGAGGCGCCAGAUGAUGAUAAAAGCCUAAAUGAUUCAAGAUUUGUAAUAAACUUCUGUGG